rnacentral:tRNA from 1 species
CAGGGAACAGUUUUGGCAGAAUUUUGGCUUUGGGGGCCAAUGGCAGGAGUUUAACCCUCCUUUCCCUGA